rnacentral:rRNA from 1 species
GACGAACGCUGGCGGCGUGCUUAACACAUGCAAGUCGAACGAUGAACCGGAGCUUGCUCUGGGGAUUAGUGGCGAACGGGUGAGUAACACGUGGGCAACCUGCCCCAGACACCGGGAUAACCAUUGGAAACGAUGGCUAAUACCGGAUACGACCACUUCGGGCAUCCGAGGGUGGUGGAAAGGAUUCUGGUCUGGGAUGGGCCCGCGGCCUAUCAGCUUGUUGGUGGGGUAAUGGCCUACCAAGGCGACGACGGGUAGCCGGCCUGAGAGGGCGACCGGCCACACUGGGACUGAGACACGGCCCAGACUCCUACGGGAGGCAGCAGUGGGGAAUAUUGCGCAAUGGGCGAAAGCCUGACGCAGCGACGCCGCGUGAGGGACGAAGGUCUUCGGAUUGUAAACCUCUUUCAGCAGGGAUGAAGCGAAAGUGACAGUACCUGCAGAAGAAGCACCGGCUAACUACGUGCCAGCCGCCGCGGUAA